UCCGGUUUGUCACCGGCAGUCUCGCAUGAGUCCCCAACUUAAUGCUGGCAACAUGCGACGGGGGUUGCGCUCGUUGCGGGACUUAACCCAACAUUUCACAACACGAGCUGACGACAGCCAUGCACCACCUGUGAAUCACCCUCGAAGGCGACUACGCUUCGGUAGCUUGCAGAUCCAUGUCAAGCCCUGGUAAGGUUCUUCGCGUUGCAUCGAAUUAAGCCACAUGCUCCACCGCUUGUGCGGGCCCCCGCCAAUUCCUUUGAGUUUCAGCCUUGCGGCCGUACUCCCCAGGCGGGGCACUUAUCGCGUUAGCUACGGCACUGACGGGGUCGCUCCCCCCAGCACCUAGUGCCCAUCGUUUACGGCGUGGACUAC
rnacentral:misc_RNA from 1 species